UUCAGAAUUUUUCAUCAAUAGGUUGUAUCUUUAAAUAAUUUUCUUAAAACUGCUAUUUUGGAAAACUUUCAUUUUUUUGAGAAAUAUUGUAGAUUUGGGUUUUUGAUUUAUAAAUUAGAAUAAAAAGAAUAUUUGUGGAUAGAUGAGUGUUUUUUAAGAAUUUUUCAUCAAUAUGUUGUAUUUAAAAAUAAUUUUCUUAAAAACUGCUAUUUUUGAAUUUUUUGAAUUUUUUAGAGAAAUUUUAUAGAUCUGAGUUUCUGAUUUAGAAAUUAUGAUAAAAAUAAUAUUUAUAGAUAGUUGAGGUAUUCUUUCAGAGUUUUUCAUGAAUAAGUUGUAUUUUUAAAUAAUUUUCUUAAAAACUGCUAUUUUUGGAAAGUUUUCAUUUUUUAGAGAAAUUUUAUAGAUUUUAGUUUCUGAUUUAGCAAUUAGGAUAACAAGAAUAUUUUUGGAUAGUAAAUUAUUCUUUCAGAGUUUUUCAUGAAUAGCUUGUAUUUUUAAAUAAUUUUCUUUAAAACUGUUAUUUUUGGAAAGUUUUCAUUUAUUAGAGAAAUACUGUAGAUUUGAGUUUAUGAUUUAGAAAUUAGGAUAAGAAGAAUAUUUGUGGAUAGUUGAGUAUUUUUUCACAGUUUUGCAUCAAUAGGUUGUAUUUUUAAAUAAUUUUCUUAAAAACUGCUAUUUUUGGAAAAUUUUCAUUUUUUUUUGAUAAAUAUUGUAGAUUUGGGCUUGUGAUUUAGAAAUUAGGAUAACAAUAAUAUUUGUGGAUAGAUGAGUAUUCUUUCAAAGUUUUUCCUCAAUAUGUUUUAUUUUAAAUAAUUUUCUUAAAAACAUCUAUUUUUGGAAAGUUUUCAUUUUUUGAGAAGUAUUGUAAAUUUGGGUUUGUGAUUUAAAAAUUAUGAUAACAAGAAUUUUAUGAAUGGAUUAGUAUUCUUUCACAAAUUUUCAUCAACAUGUUGUAUUUUUAAUCAUUUUUGUAAAAACUGUUAUUUUUGGAAUGUUUUCAUUUUUUAGAGAAAUAUUGUAGAUUGGGGUUUGUGAUUUAGAAAUUAAGAUAACAAGAAUAUUUGUGGAUAGAUGGAUAUUUUCAGAAUAUUUCAUCAGUAUGUUGUAUUUUUAAAUAAUUUUCUUUAAAACUGCUAUUUUUGAAAAGUUUCGAUAAAUAAUAAUAUAUAAAGACAUAACUAUUAUACAAAUUUAAAUACUACAACAACACUAAUAGUCAGGUAAGUUUGAACCGGAACCUUCAAAAUUUCUAAUAUUGUCCAAAUUUUUAUUGUGUAUCUGAAGAUGGUUGUUGUUGUUGUUGAUGAUGUCUUUUCGUACAAUUCUUUCUUGUUUAUAUUGAAUAUAUUUACAAGUAUUAAUAUCAUCGAUAAAAAUAAGAUU
rnacentral:lncRNA from 1 species